UACGGAGGGUGCAAGCGUUAUCCGGAUUCACUGGGUUUAAAGGGUGCGUAGGAGGGCAGGUAAGUCAGUGGUGAAAUCUUCGAGCUUAACUCGGAAACUGCCGUUGAUACUAUCUGCCUUGAAUACCGUGGAGGUGAGCGGAAUAUGUCAUGUAGCGGUGAAAUGCUUAGAUAUGACAUAGAACACCAAUUGCGAAGGCAGCUCGCUACACGAAUAUUGACUCUGAGGCACGAAAGCGUGGGGAUCAAACAGG
rnacentral:rRNA from 1 species